rnacentral:rRNA from 1 species
AAAGCUGCGGAGGGACGCAGGAAGGUAGCCCAACCCGGGUUAAUGGUAGAACCGGGCUAAGUGUGUAGGGUCAGGUGUAGGCAAAUCCGCACCUGGUUGAGCCUGAGACACGACGGCGAGAAGACUUCGAGUCUUCGAGUGGGUGAUCCUAUGCUGCCUAGAAAAUCUUCGUGAGCGAGUUGUUAGCCGCCCGUACCCUAAACCGACACAGGUGGAUAGGUAGAGAAUACCAAGGCGAUCGAGAGAAUCAUGGUGAAGGAACUCGGCAAAAUACCCCCGUAACUUCGGGAUAAGGGGGACCUGAUUUGUGACGGCCUUACGGUUUGAGCAUUGAGGGUCGCAGAGACCAGGCCCAAGCGACUGUUUACUAAAAACACAGGUCCGUGCCAAGUUGAAAGACGAUGUAUACGGACUGACUCCUGCCCGGUGCUGGAAGGUUAAGGGGAAGUGUUAGAGCAAUCGAAGCACAGAACUUAUCCCCAGUAAACGGCGGUGGUAACUAUAACCAUCCUAAGGUAGCGAAAUUCCUUGUCGGGUAAGUUCCGACCUGCACGAAUGGAGUAACGAUUUGGGCGCUGUCUCCACCAUGAACUCGGCGAAAUUGCACUACGAGUAAAGAUGCUCGUUACGCGCAUCAGGACGGAAAGACCCCGGGACCUUUACUAUAGUUUGGUAUUGGUGAUCGGUACAGCUUGUGUAGGAUAGGUGGGAGACUUUGAAGCAUCGACGCCAGUUCUUGUGGAGUCAUCGUUGAAAUACCACUCUGGCUGUUCUGGUUAUCUAACCUAGGUCCAUUAUCUGGAUCAGGGACAGUGCCUGAUGGGUAGUUUGACUGGGGCGGUCGCCUCCCAAAAUGUAACGGAGGCGCCCAAAGGUUCCCUCAGCCUGGUUGGCAAUCAGGUUUUGAGUGUAAGUGCACAAGGGAGCUUGACUGUGAGAGGGACACCUCAAGCAGGGACGAAAGUCGGGACUAGUGAUCUGACGGUGGCACGUGGAAGCGCCGUCACUCAACGGAUAAAAGGUACCCCGGGGAUAACAGGCUGAUCUUGCCCGAGCGUCCAUAGCGACGGCAUGGUUUGGCACCUCGAUGUCGGCUCGUCGCAUCCUGGGGCUGGAGUCGGUCCCAAGGGUUGGGCUGUUCGCCCAUUAAAGCGGCACGCGAGCUGGGUUUAGAACGUCGUGAGACAGUUCGGUCCCUAUCCGCUGCGCGCGUAGGAAUCUUGAGAGAGGCUGUCCUUAGUACGAGAGGACCGGGACGGACAAACCUCUGGUGUGCCAGUUGCUCUGCCAAGAGCACGGCUGGUUGGCUACGUUUGGAAGUGAUAACCGCUGAAAGCAUCUAAGCGGGAAGCACGUCUCAAGAUGAGGGUUCCCACAGAGUUAAUCUGGUAAGGCCCCCGGAAGACCACCGGGUUGAUAGGUCGGAUGUGGAAGUGCAGUAAUGCAUGGAGCUGACCGAUACUAAUAGGCCGAGGGCUUGUCU